rnacentral:tRNA from 1 species
GCGGGUGUAGCUCAAUGGUAGAGCCCCAGCCUUCCAAGCUGGUUAUGCGGGUUCGAUUCCCGUCGCCCGCUCCA